rnacentral:rRNA from 1 species
CGCAAUGGGCGAAAGCCUGACGCAGCAACGCCGCGUGGAGGAUGAAGGUCUUCGGAUCGUAAACUCCUGUCAGCGGGACGAAAGCCCGAAAGGGUUUGACUGUACCCGCUGAGGAAGCCACGGCUAACUCCGUGCCAGCAGCCGCGGUAAUACGGAGGUGGCAAGCGUUGUUCGGAAUUACUGGGCGUAAAGGGCGCGUAGGCGGCAUGGCAAGUCAGAUGUGAAAGCCCCGGGCUUAACUCGGGAAUUGCAUCUGAAACUGCUGUUGCUUGAGUCCUGGAGGGGGUAGUGGAAUUCCCAGUGUAGCGGUGAAAUGCGUAGAUAUUGGGAGGAACACCGGUGGCGAAGGCGGCUACCUGGACAGUGACUGACGCUGAGGCGCGAAAGCCAGGGGAGCAAACGGGAUUAGAUACCCCGGUAGUCCUGGCUGUAAACGAUGGGCACUUGGUGUCGGGGGUAUUGAGUCCCCCGGUGCCGGAGUUAACACGUUAAGUGCCCCGCCUGGGGAGUACGGUCGCAAGACUG